rnacentral:rRNA from 1 species
UAGGGAAUAUUAGUAAUGGGCGAAAGCCUGAACUAGCAACGCCGCGUGUGCGAAGAAGGCCUUCGGGUUGUAAAGCACUUUUUGAGAGGAUGAGGAAGGACGGUACUCUCAGAAUAAGUCUCGGCUAACUACGUGCCAGCAGCCGCGGUAACACGUAGGAGGCAAACGUUAUCCGGAUUUACUGGGCGUAAAGCGCGUGUAGGUGGUUUGGUAAGUAGGGCGUGAAAGCUCCUGGCUCGACUGGGAGAGGACGUUCUAAACUGCCAAGCUUGAGGAUGGUAGAGGGAGGUGGAAUUCCGGGUGUAGCGGUGGAAUGCGCAGAUAUCCGGAGGAACACCAGUGGCGAAGGCGGCCUCCUGGACCACUCCUGACACUCAGACGCGAAAGCUA